AUUGAACGCUGGCGGCAGGCCUAACACAUGCAAGUCGAGCGGAUGAAGGGAGCUUGCUCCUGGAUUCAGCGGCGGACGGGUGAGUAAUGCCUAGGAAUCUGCCUGGUAGUGGGGGAUAACGUCCGGAAACGGGCGCUAAUACCGCAUACGUCCUGAGGGAGAAAGUGGGGGAUCUUCGGACCUCACGCUAUCAGAUGAGCCUAGGUCGGAUUAGCUAGUUGGUGGGGUAAAGGCCUACCAAGGCGACGAUCCGUAACUGGUCUGAGAGGAUGAUCAGUCAAACUGAAACGGAGAAAGGGCCCGAAUCCCAAGGGAAGCAAGAAGGGGGGAUAAUGGAACAUGGGGGGAAGGCUGGACCAGGCCAGGCGGGGGGGGGGAAGAAGGCCUCCGAAUGGAAAGGAACUUAAGUUGGGAGGAAGGGCAGUAAGUUAAUACCUUGCUGUUUUGACGUUACCAACAGAAUAAGCACCGGCUAACUUCGUG
rnacentral:rRNA from 1 species